AUUGAACGCUGGCGGCAUGCUUUACACAUGCAAGUCGAACGAGUGGCGGACGGGUGAGUAAUGUCUGGGAAUCUAGCUUAUGGAGGGGGAUAACUACUGGAAACUGUAGCUAAUACCGCGUACCAUCGGAUGUGCCCAAGUGGGAUUAGGUAGUUGGUGAAGUAAAGGCUCACCUAGCCGACGAUCCCUAGCUGGUCUGAGAGGAUGACCAGCCACAAUGGAACUGAGAAACGGGCCAGCCUCCUACGGGGGGCAGCAGUGGGGAAUAUUGCGCAAUGGGGGCAAGCCUGACGCAGCCAUGCAGCGUGAAUGAAGAAGGCCUUCGGGUUGUAAAGUACUUUCGGUAGGGAGGCGGUAACUACAGAAGAAGCACCGGCUAACUCCGUGCCAGCAGCCGCGGUAAUUC
rnacentral:rRNA from 1 species